rnacentral:rRNA from 1 species
AUUGAACGCUGGCGGCAGGCCUAACACAUGCAAGUCGAGCGGAGCGGCGGACGGGUGCGUAAUGCCUAGGCAUCUGCCUGGUAGUGGGGGAUAACGUCCGGAAACGGGCGCUAAUACCGCAUACUAUCAGAUGAGCCUAGGUCGGAUUAGCUAGUUGUUGAGGUAAAGGCCUACCACGGCGACGAUCCGUAACUGGGCUGAGAGGAUGAUCAGUCACACUGGAACUGAGACACGGUCCAGACGCCUAAGGGAGGCAGCAGGGGGGAAUAUUGGACAAUGGGCGAAAGCCUGAUCAAGCCAUGCCGCGUGUGUGAAGAAGGUCUUCGGAUUGUAAAGCACUUUAAGUUGGGAGGCGGUAACAACAGAAGAAGCACCGGCUAACUUCGUGCCAGCCGCCGCGGUAAUAC